rnacentral:rRNA from 1 species
UACGUAGGCAGCGAGCGUUGUUCGGAGUUACUGGGCGUAAAGGGUGUGUAGGCGGUUCUUUAAGUUUGGUGUGAAAUCUCCCGGCUCAACCGGGAGGGUGCGCCGAAUACUGAGGGACUAGAGUAUGGGAUGGGAAAGUGGAAUUCCUGGUGUAGCGGUGAAAUGCGUAGAUAUCAGGAGGAACACCUGUGGUGUAGACGGCUUUCUGGACCAUAACUGACGCUGAGACACGAAAGCGUGGGUAGCAAAC